rnacentral:rRNA from 1 species
GAUGAACGCUGGCGGCGUGCUUAACACAUGCAAGUCGAACGAUGAAGCCCAGCUUGCUGGGUGGUUUAGUGGCGAACGGGUGAGUAACACGUGAGUAACCUGCCCUUAACUCUGGGAUAAGCCUGGGAAACUGGGUCUAUUACCGGAUAGGAGCGUCCACCGCAUGGUGGGUGUUGGAAAGAUUUAUCGGUUUUGGAUGGACUCGCGGCCUAUCAGCUUGUUGGUGAAGUAGUGGCUCACCAAGGCGACGACGGGUAGCCGGCCUGAGAGGGUGACCGGCCACACUGGGACUGAGACACGGCCCAGACUCCAACGGGAGGCAGCAGUGGGGAAUAUUGCACAAUGGGCGCAAGCCUGAUGCAGCGACGCCGCGUGAGGGAUGACGGCCUUCGGGUUGUAAACCUCUUUCAGUAGGGAAGAAGCGAUAGUGACGGUACCUGCAGAAGAAGCACCGGCUAACUACGUG